rnacentral:misc_RNA from 1 species
CAGCCGCGUAAUUCCAGCUCCAAUAGCGUAUAUUAAAGUUGUUGCAGUUAAAAAGCUCGUAGUUGAAUUUCGGGGUUAGUAGGUUGGUCAUGCCUCUGGUAUGUACUGGUCUCACUGAUUCCUCCUUCCUGAUGAACCUUAAUGCCAUUUAUUUGGUGUUUUGGGGAAUUUGGACUGUUACUUUGAAAAAAUUAGAGUGUUUAAAGCAAGCUAACGCUUGAAUACAUUAGCAUGGAAUAAUGAAAUAGGACGUUCGAUCCUAUUUUGUUGGUUUCUAGGAUUGACGUAAUGAUUAAUAGGGAUAGUUGGGGGGAUUAGUAUUCAAUUGUCAGAGGUGAAAUUCUUGGAUUUAUUGAAGACUAACUACUGCGAAAGCAUUUGCCAAGGAUGUUUUCAUUAAUCAAGAACGAAAGUUAGGGGAUCGAAGACGAUCAGAUACCGUCGUAGUCUUAACCAUAAACUAUGCCGACUAGGGAUCGGAUGAUGUUAAUUUUUUAAUGACUCAUUCGGCGCCUUACA